CAGGCCUAACACAUGCAAGUCGAACGAGGUCCUUCGGGGCCUAGUGGCGCACGGGUGCGUAACGCGUGGGAAUCUGCCCUUGGGUCUGGGAUAACAGUUGGAAACGACUGCUAAUACCGGAUGAUAUCGCGAGAUCAAAGAUUUAUCGCCUGAGGAUGAGCCCGCGUCGGAUUAGCUUGUUGGUGGGGUAAAGGCCUACCAAGGCGACGAUCCGUAGCUGGUCUGAGAGGAUGAUCAGCCACACUGGGACUGAGACACGGCCCAGACUCCUACGGGAGGCAGCAGUGGGGAAUAUUGGACAAUGGGCGAAAGCCUGAUCCAGCAAUGCCGCGUGAGUGAUGAAGGCCUUAGGGUUGUAAAGCUCUUUUACCCGGGAUGAUAAUGACAGUACCGGGAGAAU
rnacentral:rRNA from 1 species